UGCCCUCGGGUGCCCCUGGAUCCUGGGCCUCUUCGCCUCCUCGAGCGACUUUGUGGAGACUCUCUUCCUCUACCUCACCUCCCAACAGGGCACCUUCAUCUUCCUCAUCCACUGUGUGCUCAACGAAGGGGUCCGUCUGCUCUAUUUCAUGCAACUUAUGUGUUGUCUGUCUGUCUGUCUGUCUGUCUGUCUCUAUGUCUAUCUAUCUACCUACCUAUCUGUCUGUCUGUCUGUCUGUCUGUCUCUAUGUCUAUCUAUCUAUCUACCUAUCUGUCUGUCUGUCUGUCUGUCUGUCUGUCUGUCUGUCUGUCUCUAUGUCUAUCUGUCUGUCUGUCUGUCUGUCUGUCUGUCUCUAUGUCUAUCUAUCUAUCUACCUAUCUGUCUGUCUGUCUGUCUGUCUGUCUCUAUGUCUAUCUAUCUAUCUAUCUAUCUAUCUAUCUAUCUAUCUGUCUGUCUGUCUCUAUGUCUAUCUAUCUACCUACCUAUCUGUCUGUCUGUCUGUCUGUCUGUCUCUAUGUCUAUCUAUCUAUCUACCUAUCUGUCUGUCUGUCUGUCUGUCUGUCUGUCUGUCUGUCUGUCUCUAUGUCUAUCUGUCUGUCUGUCUGUCUGUCUGUCUGUCUGUCUCUAUGUCUGUCUGUCUGUCUGUCUGUCUGUCUGUCUGUCUGUCUGUCUGUCUGUCUGUCUCUAUGUCUAUCUAUCUAUCUAUCUAUCUAUCUGUCUGUCUGUCUGUCUGUCUGUCUGUCUGUCUGUGUCUGUCUGUCUGUCUGUCUGUCUGUCUGUCUCUAUGUCUGUCUGUCUGUCUGUCUGUCUGUCUCUAUGUCUGUCUGUCUGUCUGUCUGUCUGUCUCUAUGUCUGUCUGUCUGUCUGUCUGUCUGUCUGUCUGUCUCUAUGUCUAUCUAUCUACCUACCUAUCUGUCUGUCUGUCUGUCUGUCUCUAUGUCUAUCUAUCUACCUACCUAUCUGUCUGUCUGUCUGUCUGUCUGUCUCUAUGUCUAUCUAUCUAUAUAUCUACCUAUCUGUCUGUCUGUCUGUCUGUCUGUCUGUCUGUCUCUAUGUCUGUCUGUCUGUCUGUCUGUCUGUGUCGGUCGGUCUGUCUGUCUGUCUCUAUGUCUAUCUAUCUAUCUAUCUCUCUGUCUGUCUGUCUGUCUGUGUCUGUCUGUCUCUCUGCCUGUCUGUCUAUCUAUCUAUCUAUCUAUCUAUCUAUCUAUCUAUCUAUCUAUGUAUUUAUCUCUCUCUCUCUCUCUCUCUCUAUAUAUAUAUAUAUAUAUAUAUAUAUAUAUCUGUCUGUCUGUCUGUAUGUCUGUUUGUCUGUCUCUGUCUCUGUCUGUCUCUGUCUGUCUGUCUAU
rnacentral:lncRNA from 1 species